UUAUGCCAAUUAAAUUUACAAAUUUUUUUUUUUUUCUUUUUUUUAAACAAAAAAAAAAAAAAAAAAAA
rnacentral:ribozyme from 1 species